GUACUCUCACACUUCUGAUCCUUUGGAUUGGGAGCGGUGGACUUGGGUGCUGCUGCUUUACGGGGUGGCUCACCUCAAAUGCCUUAGUGCAACUCUUGGUUGGACAUAGUACGGCGUGAUAAGUGUCUUCGCCGGCACCUCGCAAGAGGGUGGCUGAUCAGGAGCUCUGUGCUCCCAACCGUCUGUCUUUCAGACAACAACUGACA
rnacentral:misc_RNA from 1 species